rnacentral:lncRNA from 1 species
UCAUCUUCUACAGAAUAACGUUAGUUACUAAGUCAGAAACCUGUGUUUCUCCUGUCUUGUAGAUGGGAAAGUCGCAGAAAGGAACAAAUUAAGAUUUCUGUUGGUGCUGUUGAUACUCUGGCAAGCUUCACCCUGCUCUGCAGACAGCUUGUGGGAUGUGAGUCUCCAGCCGAUGCCCUCAGCAGACAAGAGAUCAAAAUGUGUUCGCUGAUGUAGCUGGAGCUUGAUCCUGUGACUGCUUUGAAAACUUGAACCAAGGCUUUAAGCUGUUAUCAGAUACUGACUGGAUGCCAGUGGAGGGUUUUCAGCAUAAACCUCAUGCUCCUACCAAACCCGGAGCCCUAAAGAAGGAAAGUGUCAUAUGUCAGUGCUUGUCAGAUGCAUUUGUCUCCUGAAAUCCAAACUGGUUGGACACAGACCCAAGAUGAAUCACUAGUAUUGAGUGAGCCCAGAAAGAUGGAAAAGGAGAAAAGCUGAUCUUAUGCUGCUACUUGGCAAAGACCUCAGACUGUACUUAACUGCAGGGUGGAUGGACAGGACCUGGGUACAGCUAUGCAUGCUCAGCAUCAGCCUCUACCUACUGUGAAAGAUCUCACUGUGACAUCCCCACAGGGAAGAUAUGAAAAAGAUAGUAGUUCUUAAAAUGCCUGAUAUUGCAAUGCAGUAUGUGAUUACAGGAGAGACAAGGCGGGUUAGCCUAGGCUAUUGUGAGAAGAGUGUUGACAUGUCACCCCUGCCUUGGACCCUUCAGGGAAUCAGACGGAGAGCUGGUCCAGAUGCUAUGCCUUUGGCUCUUCACAAACUUGGACUACAAAAAAUGAGUGGAUCCUGA